rnacentral:rRNA from 1 species
GAGUUUGAUCUUGGCUCAGAUUGAACGCUGGCGGCAUGCCUUACACAUGCAAGUCGAACGGCAGCAUGAUCUAGCUUGCUAGAUUGAUGGCGAGUGGCGAACGGGUGAGUAAUACAUCGGAACGUGCCCUGUAGUGGGGAUAACUAGUCGAAAGAUUAGCUAAUACCGCAUACGACCUGAGGGUGAAAGUGGGGGACCGCAAGGCCUCAUGCUAUAGGAGCGGCCGAUGUCUGAUUAGCUAGUUGGUGGGGUAAAGGCCCACCAAGGCGACGAUCAGUAGCUGGUCUGAGAGGACGAUCAGCCACACUGGGACUGAGACACGGCCCAGACUCCUACGGGAGGCAGCGGUGGGGAAUUUUGGACAAUGGGCGAAAGCCUGAUCCAGCAAUGCCGCGUGUGUGAAGAAGGCCU